rnacentral:rRNA from 1 species
GAUGAACGCUGGCGGCGUGCCUAAUACAUGCAAGUAGAACGAACAGAUGAGGAGUUUGCCCUCUGGACGUGAUCGGCAGGCGGGUGAAUCACGCGGGGAUACCCUCCCUAUGAGGCUGAGAACACUUCGAAACGCCAGCGAUAAUACCAGAAAAGUUAUUGUACCACGUCAUUUACUAAAAAGGUGCAGUUUUGCCAUUACUUGUAGAUGCUUCGGCGUUGUAUUAGCUAGUUGGUGUGGUAACGGCUUACCACGGCGACGAUGCGUAGCCGACCUGAGGGGGUGGUCGGCCACACUGGGACUGGGACACGGCCCAGACUCCUACGGGAGGCAGCAGUAGGGAAUCUUCGGCAAUGGACGGAAGGCUGACCGAGCAACGCCGCGUGAGUGAAGAAGGUUUUCGGAUCGUAAAGCUCUGUUGUAAGGGAAGAACGAGUGUGAGAGUGGAAAGUUCACACUGUGACGGUAUCUAACCAGAAAGGGACGGCUAACUACGUG